CGGGUGAGUAAUACAUCGGAACGUGUCCUGUAGUGGGGGAUAGCCCGGCGAAAGCCGGAUUAAUACCGCAUACGAUCUACGGAAGAAAGCGGGGGAUCUUAGGACCUCGCGCUAUAGGGGCGGCCGAUGGCAGAUUAGCUAGUUGGUGGGGUAAAGGCCUACCAAGGCGACGAUCUGUAGCUGGUCUGAGAGGACGACCAGCCACACUGGGACUGAGACACGGCCCAGACUCCUACGGGAGGCAGCAGUGGGGAAUUUUGGACAAUGGGGGAAACCCUGAUCCAGCAAUGCCGCGUGUGUGAAGAAGGCCUUCGGGUUGUAAAGCACUUUUGUCCGGAAAGAAAACUUCCCGGUUAAUACCUGGGGAGGAUGACGGUACCGGAAGAAUAAGCACCGGCUAACUACGUGCCAGCAGCCGCGGUAAUACGUAGGGUGCGAGCGUUAAUCGGAAUUACUGGGCGUAAAGCGUGCGCAGGCGGUUCGUUAAGACAGAUGUGAAAUCCCCGGGCUUAACCUGGGAACUGCAUUUGUGACUAGCGAGCUAGAGUAUGGCAGAGGGGGGUAGAAUUCCACGUGUAGCAGUGAAAUGCGUAGAGAUGUGGAGGAAUACCGAUGGCGAAGGCAGCCCCCUGGGCCAAUACUGACGCUCAUGCACGAAAGCGUGGGGAGCAAACAGGAUUAGAUACCCUGGUAGUCCACGUCCUAAACGAUGUCAACUAGUUGUUGGGGAUUCGUUUCCUUGUAACGUAGCUAACGCGUGAAGUUGACCGCCUGGGGAGUACGGUCGCAAGAUUAAAACUCAAAGGAAUUGACGGGGACCCGCACAAGCGGUGGAUGAUGUGGAUUAAUUCGAUGCAACGCGAAAAACCUUACCUACCCUUGACAUGGUCGGAACCUUGCUGAAAGGUGGGGGUGCUCGAAAGAGAACCGAUACACAGGUGCUGCAUGGCUGUCGUCAGCUCGUGUCGUGAGAUGUUGGGUUAAGUCCCGCAACGAGCGCAACCCUUGUCCUUAGUUGCUACGCAAGAGCACUCGAAGGAGACUGCCGGUGACAAACCGGAGGAAGGUGGGGAUGACGUCAAGUCCUCAUGGCCCUUAUGGGUAGGGCUUCACACGUCAUACAAUGGUCGGAACAGAGGGCUGCCAACCUGUGAGGGGGAGCUAAUCCCAGAAAACCGAUCGUAGUCCGGAUCGUAGUCUGCAACUCGACUACGUGAAGCUGGAAUCGCUAGUAAUCGCGGAUCAGCAUGCCGCGGUGAAUACGUUCCCGGGUCUUGUACACACCGCCCGUCACACCAUGGGAGUGGGUUUUACCAGAAGUGGCUAGUCUAACCGCAAGGAGGACGGUUACCACGGUAGGAUUCAUGACUGGGGUGAAGUCGUAACAAGGUAGCCGUAUCGGAAGGUGCGGCUGGAUCACCUCCUUUCUCGAGCUCAACGUUUUAAAGUGAAGUGCUAAAGCGCUCACGCUUAUCGGCUGUAAGAAGACAGGCUAAGGGUCUAUAGCUCAGUUGGUUAGAGCACCGUCUUGAUAAGGCGGGGGUCGUUGGUUCGAAUCCAACCAGACCCACCAUGAUUCGCACGGCAGGGGAUUAAUGAAUGUUAAUCGCCCAAACGAUGAAAUCUACGGACCCUUCAGCAUCCGAGGUACUGGGGGGGAUUAGCUCAGCUGGGAGAGCACCUGCUUUGCAAGCAGGGGGUCGUCGGUUCGAUCCCGUCAUCCUCCACCAAUCAUCAAUGCACAGCACUCUUAAACGAAGAGUUUAAGUAAAGAGUUGUCGUUCUUUAACAAUCUGGAAGAAGUAGUAAAGGUCAUUUGAAAGCGCUUAGAAAUGGGCGUGAUUAGGAUGAUCAGGGUUGUGAUUGUAUCAAUGUAUGAAAAGGUGAUCGAAAGAUUGCCUUGGAACACGGCGCAACACGAAUACUCAACCUAUGGCGGGGUGAAAGAGUUUCCACAGAUGGCUGAGCUUCGGUUCGGUGUAGGUGGGAUGCUCGGAGACGCACUCGUUAUAGGGUCAAGCGAACAAGUGCAUGUGGUGGAUGCCUUGGCGAUCACAGGCGAUGAAGGACGCAGUAGCCUGCGAAAAGCGACGGGGAGCUGGCAAACGAGCUUCGAUCCGUCGAUGUCCGAAUGGGGAAACCCGGCCCUUCUGGGUCAUCCUGAGCUGAAUACAUAAGCUCAGUGAAGCGAACGCGGUGAACUGAAACAUCUAAGUAACCGCAGGAAAAGAAAUCAACCGAGAUUCCCAAAGUAGUGGCGAGCGAAAUGGGAUCAGCCUGUACUCUUUAUCACGACCGUUAGCCGAACACUCUGGAAAGAGUGGCCAUAGCAGGUGAUAGCCUUGUAGGCGAAAGCGGAUGUGUGGAACUAGGUGUACGACAAGUAGGGCGGGACACGUGAAAUCCUGUCUGAAGAUGGGGGGACCAUCCUCCAAGGCUAAAUACUCGUGAUCGACCGAUAGUGAACCAGUACCGUGAGGGAAAGGCGAAAAGAACCCCGGGAGGGGAGUGAAAUAGAUCCUGAAACCGCAAUGCAUACAAACAGUCGGAGCCUCGCAAGGGGUGACGGCGUACCUUUUGUAUAAUGGGUCAGCGACUUACGUUCAGUAGCGAGCUUAACUGAUUAAGGCAGGCGUAGCGAAAGCGAGUCCGAAUAGGGCGUUCAGUUGCUGAGCGUAGACCCGAAACCAAGUGAUCUAUCCAUGGCCAGGUUGAAGGUGCGGUAACACGUACUGGAGGACCGAACCCACUAAUGUUGAAAAAUUAGGGGAU
rnacentral:rRNA from 1 species